CAAAACAGUUGGAAAUACGGCAAGCACU
rnacentral:piRNA from 1 species